UCCACCGUGCCACAUCCACAACACUUCUCUCCUUUCCUCGCACUGCACAACAUCUGUUAGGGUUUUCAUUUUUUCUCCUUUUCCUAAUUUUUCUCACCGCAUAACACUUCAUUUUUUGUGUGCUUUUGAAUGUAGAGUUGAAGUACCAACUCAAUGAGAUAGAAGACAAUGCUUAUAAUCUGAAAAAAUGUAGAAGCAGAUGUUGGCUGAAGGAGAGGGAAGGGAAUGCUAAUUUCUCAGUUUUGUAAGAGUUAUAAUUCUUUUACGAAAAUGAAUAAGGGGUGACCGGGAGAUUACAAGGAAAACUGGUACCUAGAGUGGCACUUCGACGUAUUGAUAGUGUGGACUUUGGCAAAGACCAGAGAAAUUUCUAAAGCAGAAGAUCUUCUAAAGGGCUUAAAAAACAGGUGAAAGUGUUUUAUUUUGCAUAAGGCAUUUGAGAUACAAUAAUUCUGACAUAUUCAUGUUAUCUUACUAUAGGAUUCUGAGGAUGACUAAAAAGAAACAACAACGCAUGCAGAGAGUAAUGAUGCUAUGCUUUAGUAGCUGCUUCCAUGAAUAUAUGAAAAUGUAGUUAGAUAGUAUGUCUAGUUCAUAGCUCUUAUUCUUUAUUCUGUUGGAGUACGAGACAUGACAACCUUUCUUUGUUGCACUCACUUUGUCACAUACAACCUUAACCAAUAAUGUUACCGGAAAUUUAUCAUUUACGGGUCAUUCAGAAGUAGGGAUGGAUAUUGCACAAAUGGGUAGAUUCUAGGUUGGGUGCUGUGGCUCUUUUUACUUGUUUAAAAAAAUUAAUUACUGUUGGAUUGGAUUAGUAAAUAAGUCCUUAUUGAGUCAGUUUUGGUUCUACAUUCUUGAUUCAUUGUUUGCAUUUUGUUGAGUUAAAAAAAUUGAGAGAUAUUGUGUGUCAUGCUCAUACUCGUACUUGGAUGGUUCAACCAGAUUAUUUCCCAGCAAUAAAUAACUGCAUGAAAAACCUAUACAACUGCGUUGUUUUCUUUUCUACUGAUGUUGCUGUUAUAAUAAGGUUCUCAUUAGCAUGCUUUUGCUUUGCUUUGCUUAUUCAGAGGAAAUGUAUUUUUUCUUAGUCAAAAUUGUUUCCUCCAUUUCUCUUGUUUGAACUUAGCUUGCAGAGGCACUUUAUGCAUAUGAAAGAGGUGACGACAGACAUGGACUGGAAUUACUUGAUCCAAAUUUGUUUAGAAUAAGGCACAUGAAUUUCUCUAUGCAUAUUGGAUGCUCAUUGGUGUCAAGUACUUAGCUUCUACUGUUAAGAUUACAGAUUGAUAGUUUGCUGUUAGACUAGUACAUUUAAUUGAUACUUGAGAGGUGAUAUAUUGUUUCUGACUUCUGGAUUUGCUGAUAUAUGACUAUUCUUCAUUCUCCCUAUACGUUCUAGUUGAUUCUUAUUGGUAACAUGAUUUUCUUUUUCUGCUUUAUUUUAAUUGAAUGUAUUUUUGGAAAGCCUAACAGAGGGAACAGGGUAUUGAGCAGUAGAAGCUAGAAUCUGUCAAUAUAAAAUAUCUACGUAAUUUUCUUCAAUUUACGUAAGAUAAAUUUUAUUUAAUCAUUUUAUUCACAAUUUUAAUAACAAAAAUAUGGAAUACUUAUUCAUUUUAAGUUGUUAAAUUAUAUUAAGUCGUUUUUCUUUUCUUUUCUUUAUACUUCUAGAUAUAAGUAAUUUUUUAAAAAUAUAUGGCAAUAAAUUUUCUUGUUA